rnacentral:rRNA from 1 species
UACGGAGGGGGCUAGCGUUGUUCGGAAUUACUGGGCGUAAAGCGCGCGUAGGUGGUCCUGCAAGUCGGGGGGGAAAGCCCGAGGCUCAACCUCGGAACUGCCUUCGAUACUGCGGGUCUCGAGUCCGGGAGAGGUGAGUGGAAUUCCUAGUGUAGAGGUGAAAUUCGUAGAUAUUAGGAAGAACACCAGUGGCGAAGGCGGCUCACUGGCCCGGUACUGACGCUGAGGCGCGAAAGCGUGGGGAGCAAACAGG